ACGAACGCUGGCGGCGUGCUUAACACAUGCAAGUCGAACGGUGAAGCGCCUUCCUUUUUGGUGGGUGUGGAUGAGUGGCGAACGGGUGAGUAACACGUGAGUAACCUGCCCCCUUCUUCUGGAUAACCGCAUGAAAGUGUGGCUAAUACGGGAUAUUCUGGGUCUGUCGCAUGAUGGGUCUGGGAAAGAUAUUGUUUCGGUGGGGGAUGGGCUCGCGGCCUAUCAGCUUGUUGGUGGGGUGAUGGCCUACCAAGGCGGUGACGGGUAGCCGGCCUGAGAGGGUGGACGGUCACACUGGGACUGAGACACGGCCCAGACUCCUACGGGAGGCAGCAGUGGGGAAUAUUGCACAAUGGGCGCAAGCCUGAUGCAGCGACGCCGCGUGAGGGGUGGAGGCCUUCGGGUUGUGAACCUCUUUCGCCAGUGAAGCAGGCCUGCCUCGUUUGUGGGUGGGUUGACGGUAGCUGGAGAAGAAGCGCCGGCUAACUACGUG
rnacentral:rRNA from 1 species